AGAACAGAAUGCACAAGCAUGGAUUCCAGAAGCGGUUCGAUGUGUAUUAUACAAGCUGGAAAUAGUUGACGAUAAGGCUGUAGUUAUAAAAGAGAAACUUUUUACAAUUUACGGAUAUAAUUUCCGAUGAAAACAAAUUAAAUCAAGCAAAAGAGAUCUUUACUAAGUGUGACGAACAAGCAAAACGAGCGCCAGGAACUAACGAGGAGAAGCUUAUGUUAACUAUUUCAUGCACAAUCCAAUAAAAAAUCUACUCGACAAACCCCCGCAAUGAAAAAAAAAAGAUCACUUUUUCUUUCACAUAAUAUUCAUAUAAAAUAGUAACGAUGAAGAGAUAAAGUAAU